GACGUAGGGCGCGAGCGUUGUCCGGAUUUAUUGGGCGUAAAGAGCGUGUAGGCGGCCAUUCAGGUCAGCUGUGAAAACUCGAGGCUCAACCUCGAGACGUCGGUUGAAACCGUUUGGCUAGAGUCCGGAAGAGGAGAGUGGAAUUCCCGGUGUAGCGGUGAAAUGCGUAGAGAUCGGGAGGAACACCAGUGGCGAAGGCGACUACCUGGACCAGCACUGACACUGAGGCACGAAAGCCAGGGUAGCGAAUGGG
rnacentral:rRNA from 1 species